rnacentral:rRNA from 1 species
GACGAACGCUGGCGGCGUGCUUAACACAUGCAAGUCGAACGGAAAGGCCCUGCUCUUGUUGGGUGCUCGAGUGGCGAACGGGGGAGUAACACGUGAGUAAACUGCCCUUGACUGUGGGAUAACUUCAGGGAACUGGGGCUCAUACCGGAGAGGAGCUCCUGCUGCAUGGGGUGGGUUGGAAAGUGUCGGCGGUGUUGGAUGGACUCGCAGCUUAUCAGCUUGUUGGUGGGGUAGGGGCUGACCAGGGCUGUGACGGGUAGCCGGCAUGAGAGGGUGACCGGCCACAUGGGUACUGCGAGACGCCCCAGACUCCAACGGUAGGCAGUAGUGGAGAACAUGGCACAAUGGGCGGGAGCGUGUGGCAGCAACGUCGCGUGCGGGAUGCUGGGUUUCGGGUUGAAAACCGCUUUCGACGGUGACGAACCGUGAGUGACGGUACCGGGUCAAGAAGCACCGGCUAACUACGUG